rnacentral:rRNA from 1 species
CCCUUGGAUGUCCGGGGCCGCACGCGCGCUACACUGAAGGAAUCAGCGUGGCUUUCUCCCUGACCCGAAAGGGUUGGGAAACCCGUUGAAUCCCCUUCGUGAUAGGGAUUGGGGCUUGAAAUUGUUCCCCAUGAACGAGGAAUUCCCAGUAAGCGCGAGUCAUAAGCUCGCGUUGAUUACGUCCCUGCCCUUUGUACACACCGCCCGUCGCUACUACCGAUUGAACGGUUUAGUGAGGGCCUCGGAUUGGUCUCGGCCCGCUCUUUACCGGGCGGCGCCGUUGGUCGAGAAGACGCUCGAACUUGAUCGUUUAGAGGAAGUAAAAGUCGUAACA